rnacentral:misc_RNA from 1 species
GAUGAAGAACGCAGCGAAAUGCGAUAAGUAAUGUGAAUUGCAGAAUUCAGUGAAUCAUCGAAUGUUUGAACGCACCUUGCACUCCUUGGUAUUCCGAGGAGUACGCCUGUUCGAGUGUUAUGAAGCUCUCAAAACGCAAUUGGCUUAAAACCUGAUUGUUGUUUUGGAUUUGAACUUUGCCGUGUUAUAACGGCUGGUUUUAAAAGUAUUAGCUGGUACUAGAACGAAUUGGUUCUACUCAACGUGAUAAUUAUCUGAUCGUUGAGGACAUUCCUUUCACGAGGAAUGGCCAUAGUAAAUUCAAUGUACUGCUUCUAAUCUGGCUUUAAUUCUUUAUUGGAUUAACCACUUUUCAAAUCUGACCUCGAAUCAGGUGGGACUACCCGCUGAACUUAAGCAUAUCAUAAGCGGAGGA